rnacentral:lncRNA from 1 species
ACCGAUGUAGGCUUUUGAGCUCUCGGAAAAACUUCUUUUCCAAUUCUCGUGGACCAUGACACGUAUAGCACAUCCGGAGGAGAUUGCAGGUAGUUUACGAACAAUCUAGAAAUAGGAAUUUGAUGGAAACACACGUUUCCGUCCUGAAUCUUACGGAAUUAUCGCUUCCAAGUUCCACAUGGGGAAUUCGCUGCUCUACAUUGGAAUGUUGCUAUUCUACAUCAGGCAUCGGGUCCGG